rnacentral:rRNA from 1 species
UACGUAGGGACCGAGCGUUGUCCGGAUUCAUUGGGCGUAAAGAGCUCGUAGGCGGCUGCUCAAGUCGAAUGUGAAAACUCGAGGCUCAACCUCGAGCCUGCAUUCGAUACUGGGCGGCUAGAGUCUGGUAGGGGGAUCUGGAAUUCCUGGUGUAGCGGUGGAAUGCGCAGAUAUCAGGAGGAACACCGGUGGCGAAGGCGGGACCCUGGGCCAGUACUGACGCUGAGGAGCGAAAGCGUGGGGAGCAAACAGG